GACGAACGCUGGCGGCGUGCUUAACACAUGCAAGUGGAGCGACGAACCAGGCUUCGGCCUGGGGCAAAGCCGCGAACGGGUGAGUAACACGUGGGUAACCUGCCCCGAAGAUCGGGACAACCCGGGGAAACCCGGGCUAAUACCGAAUGUGCUCCCGCCACAUCAGUGGCAGGUGCAAAGGAAGCUUCGGCCUCCGCUUCGGGAGGGGCCCGCGGCCCAUUAGCUUGUUGGUGAGGUAACGGCUCACCAAGGCUCCGAUGGGUAGCUGGUCUGAGAGGACGAUCAGCCACACUGGGACUGAGACACGGCCCAGACUCCUACGGGAGGCAGCAGUGGGGAAUCUUGCGCAAUGCGCGAAAGCGUGACGCAGCAACGCCGCGUGGGGGAAGAAGGCCUU
rnacentral:rRNA from 1 species